AUAAAUCAAGACAACCUUUUCUAAUUGUCCAACGAGAUGGAAGAUGAAACCUUGGGCAUGCUAUAGAAAUAAAGAACUUAAAACCCUCCCCUUCCACAAAAUUAAAAGGCAAUUCAUCCGUAAUGAUCAUAUUAAUCAAUGCAUUUCUAAUAUCAUCUUGAUUAAACACCCAAGUUGCCAAAUCUAUAUUUUCUUGGCUAGAUUUUGUAAAUGCAAGUUCUGCUUGUUUAAGAUCAGAGGUAUUACCUCGGGGUUUUUUUGAGCAAGUCUUCA
rnacentral:lncRNA from 1 species